CAAUUAACGUUAUGUUGGCGUGUGUCUGUCGACCUUGCCUAACGUUAGUCCCGAAUCUUUGUUGUUCUGCCUGCGUGCGUGGAAGACUCAGAUUACGAUUGUCUUUUUUUUCCAGAUUUCCAAUGUGUCAACCACUUAAAAACAAUUUAGAUACUAACUAAACCACUUAAUUGACAUGAUCUGACACGUUUGCAUAUUUGUUGUGGAUAUUUUGGACUCAAUUGGGUUAGCUUGCGCAAAAAUAGUAACCGCAACGUGUCUCGCGAAGGUCAUCGAAUGCACGAUGCAUAUGGGAUAAAGGCUCAGAAGUUCCCCUUCUCUCUUGCCAGUCAAGAUGGGAGGAGCUGUGAGCGCUGGCGAGGAUAAUGACGAGUUGAUUGACAACUUGAAGGAGGCACACUACAUCCAUUCGGACCUGGUGGAGCGGGCCUUCAGGGCCAUCGACCGGGCCGACUACUACCUGGAGGAGUACCGUGACAGCGCCUACAAGGACCUGGCCUGGAGGCACGGCAACAUCCACCUAUCAGCCCCCUGYAUCUACUCKGAGGUGAUGGAGGCCCUGGACCUUCACCCUGGCCUGUCCUUCCUCAACCUGGGCAGUGGGACUGGGUACCUCAGCACUAUGGUGGGACUCAUACUGGGUCCAUUUGGUGUGAACCAUGGGGUGGAGUUAUAUGCUGAUGUGAUUGAGUAUGCCUACCAGAAGCUAGACUACUUCAUCAAAACCAGCGAAAGCUUUGACAAGUUUGAGUUCUGYGAACCUUCCUUUGUGGCGGGGAACUGCCUGGAGAUCCCCUCUGAGAGCAGGCAGUAUGACAGGGUGUACUGUGGGGCGGGGGUGCAGAGAGACCAUGAAGAAUUCAUGAAGAGCCUGCUGAAAGUGGGGGGAGUUCUGGUAGUGCCCUUGGAGGAGAAGCUGACMAAGAUCAGGCGUACAGGCCAGAGCAGCUGGGAGACCAAAAAGAUCAUUGCUGUGUCCUUCGCUCCACUGGCACUGCCCCAACAAAACACCAACGGUGAACCCAAGACCGUCCCACUACCCAUGUUUGAGGUGCGGACGCUGCAGGAGCUGGCUCGUAUAGCCAUCCGCCACACCCUGAGAGUGACCACGGACAACGGGGAGGGUCAGCCACGGGGUCAGGGCUCUUUUGGAGGAGGCAGGGGCCUGGGGGUCAGUGGGCUCCACAAGUACGGCCCACGUUUUAAACGCCGGCGUGUUCACCGCCGCCACUGCACCUCUGUAGUACUGGCACACAAGCGUGUGGUGAGCAAUGCUGACCCCACCCCUGCUCCCCUGGACAACAACAACAAUAACCACGGGGGGCAGGAGGAGGGGCAGCGAAGGGUAGCCCGGGAGGAGGAGGAGGAGGAAGCAGAAAAGGAGACAGGGGAGCUACUCCCAGCAGAGCCACCUGUAAACAUCCUGAGACAGAGGAUUCUCGUUUUGCCCCUCCCGGAGCCUCUGAAGAUGUACCUGCUGUACUGCCGGGAGAAAUGACUUCUCCACAGAUACAGAGACCCAGCAGAAACCAACAACACCUGACUGGGUCUCUGUUACUGACUGGGUCUCUGUUACUGACUGUGUCUCUGUUACUGACCCCUGACUGUCUCUGUUACUGACCCCUGACUGGGUCUCUGUUACUGACUGGGUCUCUGUUACUGACUGGGUCUCUGUUACUGACUGGGUCUCUGUUACUGACCCCUGACUGGGUCUCUGUUACUGACCCCUGACUGGGUCUCUGUUACUGACCCCUGACUGGGUCUCCAUUACUGACCCCUGACUGGGUCUCCGUUACUGACUGGGUCUCUGUUACUGACUGGGUCUCUGUUACUGACUGGGUCUCUGUUACUGACUGGGUCUCUGUUACUGACUGGGUCUCUGUUACUGACUGGGUCUCUGUUUCUAAUCUGGAAUGUAAUCAUGGCUCUACAGUAUUUGGCGUUUAUUUCCGCUAUAGGUCCAUUUUCAUCUACAUGCUUUUGUAUGGAUAGGAAAUGUUGGUUCAUUCAAGAGAUUAUACUUUUUGAUUUUAUGGAUUGAUUUUUUCAGUAACAGAGACCCAGACUCACUGUUUCUUACUCUUUUCCUGUCACUGUAAGAAGGAGACAUAUUUGACCAGUAUGGGAAGGGUUUCACCUUGGGGAUAGAAAGGCGUCUCUAGGCUUUCUGGUACUCAGUAACUUAGCUUUCUCAAUGGUGCAGAUGUUUUAGACAGCCAAACAGAUCAAUUAUGUUAAUAGUUUUGUUUCAGUAGUUGCGAAUUGAGGAUCUUUGUGAUUUCACUUUUUCAUUCAACCCAACAUAAGUUGUUUCCCCCUUAAGCUGUGUGUGAGAAUGGAAUACAUUAUAUAUUCUGUGCUGAGUGAGCCCUAGACCUAUGGUGGUGUCUGUUAUCUGGUUGGAAGACGUGGCUCUACUUAUUGGACAUCACCUGCAGCCACAUGUCCCAGAGCACGUUGGUCCAGAUCUUCUGUACUACGAGAGACUGGAAGAACCCUCUGAGAUUGCUAUCGAGCCUUGUGCUUCAUAAAUGGAGAGACUGGGGGAGAAGAUGGGAUAGUGUCAGAGUGGAGGAGAAAGUUUGUCAUUUAAGUAGUUUCCAGAAGCCAGAGAGAUGUUUGACCUCUGAUGCAGAAGUGGUGUAGAGGUG